CACGCUAGUAUGUGCCCUCCUAUAGAUGGGAUCUUAUUUAGGCGAUAAUAACUCGUGUUCAUCUACUUACUUCCAAAUCUCCUCGCCUCUUCAUCUUUAUCCCUGGUUCCAGAUCUUAGGCAAACGCACGGUAUGCCAUAGAUGUUACAGAGCCAUAACACGUUCUGCCACGGGGAGAGGGAUCAAGCAAGGGUUGAGAGCUUUCUCACCACAUUUGGGCGCUGGAGGGGAAACACGGAUGAAUGAUAGAUACAUCGGCGUGUAGGAUUCGCCGGCCAGUUCGCUCAGGGUGCGUCACUGUAGGUGAAGCGCCCAGUCACGCACUGCGAAGCGGAAGGCGCAGUUGGCAGGGAUGACAGUUGAUGGUUUGUACACUUUUUCCCACCUCUCGCGAAUAUUGUUGCAUUCCUCAUCUCAGACAUCUUUCGGCAAUAUCGCCCUUUGCAUUUACCGACCAAACUGCUAUGUGGCGCUUUAACAAUAAUCACAUCACCGCCAGCAGCGCCAGCGUUGUUAGCGGAAGCAGUGCAGCUCUAGAGUCUAGAGCUGGACUAUUGCUGUAGAUCUACAGCUGCUGCAAAGCAUGCAUGUGCACACCGGCUGGUUGCUUCAAGUCGUUCGGGGAUCCGCACAGAUUCGGUCCGUACAUGUGAAUAGUGUCACACGUAAUGUGUAAUAGACAACCCUACCACAUGUUAGGCCAGUUUACAUCCCAUGCGCGAGAGCAUGUCCCGGAUCGCCAGCGACGUGCAAACGGCGUGCGGCAGAUGGCUUUGAACUCCUGCCUGCCGUCAAUCAGACCUACCAUUUUGCACGCACUGGUGCUGGUGUUGCUGCAUUCAGGCAUGUGGACACAUGGCCUCGCUAGGAUGGCUGCUAGGAAAUGCCGCAGUGUACGGGUAUUGCUAAAUCUGACGCCAAAUAGGAAGGCAUAACUACUGUCCUCGGUUUACAAUCAGUGACCUACUGGGAUUGUGUCUCGCCACGGACCUGCUCUUUUGCGGUUCAGAGCAUAGCCCGCAGUGCUGUGAACCUCUGAGGUCCUGUAGAUGUCCUCUUCUUAACAGAAACUUGCAGAUCACGGCAUGGAACUGAGCACACUCGAUGUUACAUUGUAAACGUUUGAUGUCCUUUGGGAGCCAAAUGAAAGUAACUGCACUUUUUCUGAGGUUUAAUCAGAAAUUACGGACAGGGAAGUUACAGAGUAAAACCGGCUUUAGACGAGUGCUAAGCAAUAGUCAUCGCACUGGACGUGAAACUGAGUAUUUAUGUGACUAUAAUAUAUAAUUAUUCAACUUCUUUCG
rnacentral:lncRNA from 1 species